GCUUCACUGAGGCCAACAUGGCUGUUAGGCCUGCUGGUAGGGUGCCGGGUCCUCCUUGGUGGAUAUCGCAGUUUUAUUUUCCCAGCAACUUGCCCUCCUUCUGCUGUAGCUGAGUCUUGCGCGGAAGGUUCGUGGAGGCCCAGUCCCACGCGAAGGACUGGUUUCUCUGUGCCAGGCCCAGCCAGCAUGAAGUUUGGAACCGGGACCUCUGUCGGAAGGAGCUGGCCAUGGCUGGACAGCGGUUUGGUCUCCUUCCCCUCCGCCUUUGGACAGCUUGGGGAGGUGAGGAGUUGCAGUGUCAAGCAAGUGGCUGGAUGGUUUUCAGAAAUGGUAUUGUGAUGCUGCAGGAUUCAAUAAAUAUCAAAUUGGUUAAUGUGAGACGGCACACCAUAGGAGACUGAAGAUGUGAAAGAAGUCAUAGGAAGGCUUCCUGAGGAGCUCACAGUAAGACCAUGAGGCAUCAGGUCAUCCCUGCGGAGCUGAGGACAAACUAUGAGGCAGCAGAGCAGGACAAAUUCUACCCUAAGCCCUAACUGAAAGGAAGGAGAGAGAAUGGGCAAAAAGAGAUCUGUGGUGGAGACCUGUGGAGCUGCCGCAUCUCAGUGCAUGUCUAUGAAGCUGGGUCAACCCGAGUCACAGUUUAAGAAUUAUUUGUCUACAGAUGCCUCACUUUAAAUAAAUGUUGAUUGUAACCAUG